GUAGGUGGUUUGUCGCGUCGUUUGUGGAAUACCGCAGCUUAACUGCGGGGUUGCAGGCGAUACGGGCAUAACUUGAGUGCUGUAGGGGAGACUGGAAUUCCUGGUGUAGCGGUGGAAUGCGCAGAUAUCAGGAGGAACACCGAUGGCGAAGGCAGGUCUCUGGGCAGUAACUGACGCUGAGGAGCGAAAGCAUGGGUAGCGAACAGGAUUAGAUACCCUGGUAGUCCAUGCCGUAAACGGUGGGCGCUAGGUGUGAGUCCCUUCCACGGGGUUCGUGCCGUAGCUGACGCAUUAAGCGCCCCGCCUGGGGAGUACGGCCGCAAGGCUAAAACUCAAAGGAAUUGACGGGGGCCCGCACAAGCGGCGGAGCAUGUGGAUUAAUUCGAUGCAACGCGAAGAACCUUACCUGGGCUUGACAUACACCGGAUCGCUGCAGAGAUGUAGUUUCCCUUGUGGCUGGUGUACAGGUGGUGCAUGGUUGUCGUCAGCUCGUGUCGUGAGAUGUUGGGUUAAGUCCCGCAACGAGCGCAACCCUUGUCUUAUGUUGCCAGCAUUUGGUUGGGGACUCAUGAGAGACUGCCGGGGUUAACUCGGAGGAAGGUGGGGAUGACGUCAAAUCAUCAUGCCCCUUAUGUCCAGGGCUUCACACAUGCUACAAUGGUCGGUACAACGCGUUGCGACACUGUGAGGUGGAGCUAAUCGCCUAAAGCCGGCCUUAGUUCGGAUUGGGGUCUGCAACUCGACCCCAUGAAGUCGGAGUCGCUA
rnacentral:rRNA from 1 species